UACGUAGGGUGCAAGCGUUGUCCGGAAUUAUUGGGCGUAAAGAGCUCGUAGGCGGCUCGUCGCGUCGACCGUGAAAACCCGCAGCUUAACUGCGGGCUUGCGGUUGAUACGGGCGGGCUAGAGUUCGGUAGAGGAGUGUGGAAUUCCUGGUGGAGCGGUGAAAUGCGCAGAUAUCAGGAGGAACACCGAUGGCGAAGGCAGGUCUCUGGGCCAUAACUGACGCUGAGAAGCGAAAGCAUGGGGAGCGAACAGG
rnacentral:rRNA from 1 species